CCUCUGUGUUACAACAGUUUGUGAAUUUGUGAAUUCCAGUUUGAAUUUCUGAAUUGCCUGUGUGGUUUUGUUUAUAGUGAUGACUCUGUUUAUUUUCAAAAGGUUACCAGAAAGGCCAGCUUUGGAGAGUGCAUGUAAAAACAACUCGGACUCAGCAGGCUGAGAAAUGGAUCCAACACAGCAGGGUUCAGAAGGGGGUAGGGUGUAACAGACUGAUCAGAGAAGUCAUCUUCAGGAGACAUGAAUGCUUCACAUAUAUGAACCAGGUGUCAGGAGCAGCAGAAACCAAGUGAGGAGCAUGAAGGUUUUUAAGAGUCAUAUUGCUAAAAUGUAAUGAAAACUGAAGACAAAAACUAGCCUGAACAAAACAGAGCACCGGAGUGGAAAAAUAAGCACUGGAGAAGCUUAGCCAAAAGGGGAAAUAAUAAAAUGAGCUCAGUUCUUCAAUUCAAAUUCCAACUUUGUGCUUUCAGGACAGGGGACUUGAAGAAAUUGAAGAGCUGGCAUUAUGUUUCUUUGUAGCUGCAGCUGCUCACAGUUAUCUGCCACUGUGUUCCCUGGCAGGCAGCACUGCAGCACUGAUAGCCUACAAAUUUCCCAGGAUGUGAGAAAAGGGCACCAAGAAUGACUAAUGGAUCCAUGAUGAACUGGCACAUGCCAGCAGACACACAUGCCAGUUGUCUCACAGGUAGGAUCCAGCUAGAGCACUGCUGCAUCCCACAGCUGCAGUCUGCAAUUGCUCUGUGUCACUGGUGAUGGGGGACAUAUAAUGUUCCCUCUGAAAGCCCUACUUCCUCAAGCAGGGCUUUCUGGUCUCUCUGGAGAGAUGCUGCUGAGACUGUAUUUUAAUUUGCUUUUGGGUCCCAAGAUACAUCAGGCAAGAGAACCUCACUCUCGUAUGUUGCACUACAUCCUUGCUUCUCCAGAGUACUGUCAUUUUUCAGAGCAAAUGCCAAUAAAAAGGGCAUGAUGUCAGGCAUUCCAUCUGCAGGAUGUGGGGCGCUCCUCCAUUCCCAACCACAGACUGAUGGAUGCUUCUGCUCCAUCCCUCCCAGAGGGAGCAUUACAGAUCCUUUCAAUGCCCAACCCCCCAGUUUCAGUAAAGAUCCACUGACACUUGGUGGAAAAAACAACAUUGUAUUUGAUUUACAAUUAACAGGAUUUACAAAUAAUGAAAAAGAAACAGAUUAGCCAUGAAAUUAGGAUGCCUUUGUAGAUGAAAGAAUAACUGGCAAAGCACCUCGCUGUAGAAGUUGUAUAGCUCAGUCCUAAACAGUAUAAAAUAAGUUACAGCCCAGGCAGGUUCUGGAAUGAUUAUAGGCAAAUGCAAGAAGUCGAGUACAAGCAAACAAAAAAACUGCUCACAGCCUACUGGGCAGGAAACCAGUUCUGGUGAGGCUUUUGAUUUUCAGAAACUGAAGGAAAGGCCCACUGACAAAUACUAGGAAAUUUUCAAAACGGGAGAGAAAAAAAUAUCAACAGACAGUAAAAGUCAGUAUGUGACAACCUACUAGGCAGGGAGAGCUGGGGGCAGACACUGCAUUAGCUUGCUGAGAGUCAGCAGAGUCCGGGUGUUUGGCAGGACAAUGAACGAAGGAGUACAGAUGGCAGCACUUCAUUAAAAUGCUACUUUACUGCCAAAAACUUGCAAGACAAAGAGAAGUAAAGUUCUCUGAUGUGCAAUACAGCAAUUUAAGAAGACGUACCUAACUUUUUGAUUUGUACGGCGCUUACCUAUAUUGUAAACACACACUUUCUGACAAGGUAUUUCAAUUUUCUUUGCUAUGGAUUAUAGUGUAUAUUCAAUCAAAUGCAGCAUUCCAAGGCUCAAAACUGACUGAGUGGUUUUCAAUAGUUGGGUAUAUGAUUUUUUCCAAUAUCAUAGUAUUUUACAUCACAGAUACAAUAAAAACAAGUGAUGGUAUUUCUAGGACAGUUCCAAGAUUCAAAUAAAAAAUCAUCAGAACCAUUCUAAAAUAGGGUAUUAUACAUAAUCGUGUUAAACAGCACACUCUCGGCAAGCAGCUAAUUACAAGCAUUCUGCUGGUCAUGUUUUUCACACAAAAGUCAUUCAAUAGCACAUAAAUACUUAUUUUUCUGAUCUGCUUCUUUUUACAAAACCAUUCAUCAGAUUCACAGAAUUAGUACAAGUAAGGCACAUUAGCAUAUAUCAUAAAACUCACAAUAAUAACAAAGAGGUUUAAAGUUUUAAGGACUGAUUCCUUCUUUGCAGUGAUUUCUGAACCGAACAAGACUUCAUCAGUAGAACUCUUCUACACUGAUAUUAUUCUUAUUUCUUUCACAGCCAACUGUGGUGGGUGCAUCACCAUUGAGAUAAAUAAUUAAAUUUAGAACCACGUGUGGUAGCAAAUCCCAUUUUUAGAUUUUGCAGAGAAAUCAGACACUUUGUUCGCUAUGUUCAUUAUGAGCAGAGACCAAGUUUUAGAGCUCUAUGGAAGUCAAUUUCCAGUUAUCAAAAUAAAAGGAGAUAUUGCAUGUGUCUCUGAGUAUGUUAUUGUUUUCCUAGUACAAAUAUUGCUUAAGGUAGAAAGGAUGCUAUGGUAUUGAAUUUACUUGCAUAAUGAAUUCUAAAUGCUGAUGUCUCAGAUUCUACUAAAACAAAUGCACGAAAGGUUUU